rnacentral:rRNA from 1 species
UACGUAGGGGGCAAGCGUUAUCCGGAUUUACUGGGUGUAAAGGGAGCGUAGACGGUAAUGUAAGUCUGAUGUGAAAGCCCCCGGCUUAACCGAGGAAUUGCAUCGGAAACUGUGUUUCUUGAGUGCAGAAGAGGACAGUGGAACUCCAUGUGUAGCGGUGGAAUGCGUAGAUAUAUGGAAGAACACCAGUGGCGAAGGCGGCUGUCUGGUCUGCAACUGACGCUGAGGCUCGAAAGCAUGGGUAGCGAACAGG